ACUGGGAGAGCUGGAUCUGAGCCAGAGAGCUUUGGUUUGACUUCAUUUUAGGAUGAAAAGAAAAUCAAAGAAUAUUUUAGAAUUACCCUUAGAGAAGGCAGGCAAGCAAGAGCAUGUGGGAGAGGCAUGCUUUGAAGAUUAUUGUGGGCUGAUAACCUGAAAACCAGGUUUCUGAGAACAGUUAUUACAAAAAAAGCCUAGUAUGAUUGCCUUACCUGUUCAGAUAGUGUCUGCAAGAUGAAGUUAGUUUCUGUAUUCAUGGGUGUUGUUUCUGAGCCUGUAUUAUUUGUGAAUUAUUUGUGAAUGCUAGUUAUUUGUUUUGUUCUGCUUUUUAUCAAACCUACAAGAGUCUGGGUUGCAUUUCUUGCUGUGCCAGUUGAGACUGUGAGACAACUGCUUUGUUGUUUUUCUUACAUCUAGCAACUGAGAAAAUGUACAUCAGCCCCAAAGAUGUCAUUCACUCCCUCUCCCUACAAAUAUUAGAGGAAUUUUUCCAUGUUUAGCUGGUAGGUCCUAUUUUGAUUUGACUGUCCUUCUGACAGUCUUGUAACACCUCAUGCUGCCUGCUCUGCUGGAAUCAGAUGGGCUGUGAAGACUGCUUGGAUCCACUCCAGUGGCUUUGCUGAUGCGGAAGUUGUUCCUGAGGACACUGGAGUAGCCAAAGUGGGAGAAGGUGGAAGAUCACUCAAAUCUAUCUUGAACCUGAGGAAUGACAUCAUAUGACUUAUGGAACAGUUUUCUAAAACAACAACAGCUGCAUGCCCAACUCCCUAGUGAAACAAGCACACCUCACACUUGAGAUCUCAAGAUCAUAUGGGCCAAGCCCUUAGCGCACUGUGAAAAAAAGUAAGGUUACGCACUCUAAUGCUGACAGCAAAUCAGAAUUAGCAGUUUCAAGGGGAAAAAAUUUGCAUUCCAUAAUGAAGGCAGAAGAGGUUGGAAAUCAAUUUUUGCUGUCACAUCACCUGUUUCUGAUCAUGUUGUGUCACUGCCAACUGAAACUCUGCAAGCUGAAUGUGUUUGGACAUCCUCGCCCCAUUAUUAAUGCUUUCCAGUGCUUUGCUCUCACUCUUUUGUUUUGCUAAAUGUAUAACUUCUUAUGAUUCAACAGCAGUGAAUUUUAGUCAUGGCUACGAUUAUUUGAUAUGUUAUUAGCUAUGUGGUACAGCAAACUAAGCAACCUGGGCAGUCUCCUCCACUUAUAGGUUCUGCUGCCAACUCCUUUGCAUCAUUAUCAAAGAAUUUAAGUGUGAUAAAACCAAAUGUUAGGACUCUGGAUUAUUCCUCUAAAAUAUCCCUACAUACAGUUAAUUGCUGAUAACUUUCUGCUUGUUUUUCUUCAUUCCAUCAGUUUUUGUUGCAUGUGACCCAAACAAAUUUGAAUGAGCUUUGUGUGUAAUGUUGCAUGAACAAGUGUAGGAAAUACUGUAUGAAACACCAUCAGUUUCCUGAAAGACUUUUGAAUGAACUUUACUGCUUAGAAAUUCCUCUGUACUUUGUCUCUUUUUUUGUCUGGUUCAUUCAUAAGGGCAAGCGGUAAUAAUUUAUAUCAACAACAUCAGAAUAAUACAAAGCUAAAGCUUUUUUUAGCCCUUGUAGUAUUCAUGUAUGCAUGUAUUCAUUUUUUUCUGGAGUCCCUCACCAAGGAGAAAUAAUGAGAACUCUUCUGAAAUAUACUGUUGUCAGAGAUCAUAUUCCUAGGUGAGAGGCAUACUUGCAUUAACAUUUGAUUUCAUUUGUUGUAUGCUGCUAAAAUGAACACAAAGAUGCUCUUAAUAUCAGUUGUCUAACAGAUGACUGUUAGUACAAAUAUCUGAUUAUGAAAUUAGUAUAAGCAAUGUAACAAAUGUUGGGGUCUUCUGAUACUUACAUUUUAAUGGGAGGAAUCUACAUGCAACUUUUCAAAAUAGUUCACCCACGUAAGCUAAAUCAUAGAAUUUUAAUUACUGUCUUUGACGAGGUAAAGAGAUGGUAAAUGUGAUAGUGUAUUCCUCAUAUGGCUCUUAGGGUUCCACAUUCCUUAUAUGGAUUUGCAAGUUAAGUUAUACUGUCUCCACAAAGAGGGAUCCAUUUAUCAGUCUUCAGUUUAUUUAUUUCUGUUUUACUUCUCUGAAUGAGUGUCAUGAAAUGUGAUGUUCUGGUGGCUGCAAUCCCUCUUCCCAGUAAACAAAUAUUGUAUACACAGCACACACAAGACAACCAGGCAAUAAGGCCCGGUCAGUGUGGGUUUAUGAAAGGGAGGUCCUGCUUGACUGACCUGAUCUCCUUCUAUGGCAAGGUGAUCCAUCUAGUAGAUGAGGGAAAGGCUGUGGAUGUUGUCUACCUGGACUUCUGUAAAGUCUUUGACACUGUUUCCCAGAGCAUCCUCCUGAAGAAGCUGUCAGCUCAUGGCUUGGUCAGGUAUACUCUUUGCUGGGCAAACUGGCUGGAGGGCUGUGCCCAAAGAGUUGUGGUGAACGGGGCCAAAUCCAGUUGCUGGCCAGUCACAAGUGGUGUUCCCUCAGUACUGGGUCUGGUUCUGUUUAAUAUCUAUAUCAAUGAUCUGGACAAAAGGAUUGAGUGCACCCUCAGUAAGUUUGCAGAAAGUUUGCAGACAACACCAGAUUGGGUGGGAAUGUAGAAUCAUUGAAUCCUAGAAUAAUUCCAGUUGGAAGUCACCCUCAAGGUCAUUGUUUCCAACCAUUAACCCAACACUGGCACUAAAACAUGUCCCUAAGUACUACAUCUACAUGUCUUUCAAAGACCUCCAGGGAUGGUGACUCCACCACUUCCCUGGGCCACCUGUUCCAAUGCCUGACAACCCUUCCAUGAAGAAUCUUUUCCUAAUAUCCAAUCUAAACCUUCCCUGGUGCAACUUGAGGCUAUUUCCUUCUGUCUUAUUGGUUGCUACUUGGGAACAUGCUACAACAUCCUUUCAGGUAACUGUACAGAGUGGUAAGAUCUCCCCUCAGCCUCCUUUUCUCCAGACUAAACAGCCCCAGUUCCCUCAGCCAUUCCUCAAAAGUCUUGUGUUCCAGGCCUGUCACCAGCUUAUAUGUUAUUGUAUUGGUUGGCUGUAAUUACUUACAUGGCUAGUGUCUAUAGCUGGCAAUAGUGUAGUCGUAAGCACUUUUGCUAUUGUUCUGCUGUGAAUACUGGGAAUUAUGGUCCAUCUAAGUUUAUCACACUGUUCUCUUCCAUGCACUAAGAUAGUCAGUAGUCACGUGAUAAUGUUAGCAUGGAUAGCUCAGUGUGCUAACUAUUUUGCUUUCCAAAAAUGACUCUGUGAAUGCACAUGAGAUCACAUGUGGCCUUGCAUCAGUGGAAAAGCUAUCUAUCUUGAUAAAAUACGGUUGCCCUGUAAUUGAAGGUGCUUUAGACUCAGCAUAUUGAACAGGUUUUUUUUUUGUUUGUUUUUGUUUUGUUUUGUUUUGUUUUUUUAAUGUUAUGAGUCAUUCAGUUUUUGUUGGAAAUGUACUUCUGGUAUUCUGCAAUCACCUCAACAAAAGUAGCAGGAUCAUUUUCAUGGGUGGUAAUCCUGUUAGCACAUCAGCUGUCAACUGAAGCAUGGAAGUUGAAGUUAAGGGCAGAUAGUAUGGCACUGCAUGUUCUCCUUUUCUGUGUUCACAGUCUUUUAAGUGCCAGUUUCCUAUGUUCAAAAUUACUGAACCCUCAAUCCUCUACUCUGCAUAGCUAUUUAUCUUCAUAUAUAAGGAGAGCAGUGGAGUGGAACUUGUCAGGCUGAUGGUAAGCCAGUGGUCUUCUCCAAUCCACCAUACUGCUGAACUUCAGCGGUGUUGAGUUAGUCUAGAAAGCAGUGUCAAUAUUUCACAACUUUUGAAAGUCUGAACCGAAACGUAGAAUAAAUCCUCUAACAUGAUAGGUCUUUUUGACCUUUUGCAUCAGAAGUUCAUAGAAAUGAUAUUCUGGCCAGUUGUAUAGUGGUUAAAAUGGGAAUGCUGAAUGCAUUGUGGAAAAUUUAGAAAUUUGAUAUUGAUCCUCUUUGCCCUGUGGUGACAAUGUGUAUAUUUGUAGUUCUGGUAAGGUGUUGUUGUUGUUUUAAAUCUUUCUUUACUAAAACAAGCAAACAAACAAAGGUUCUUGUAACCUGAGAUUCCAAAUUGAUCUCCCUUCCUUCUGGAGUCCAACUCCAAAUACAGCCCAGCUUCCAAAAAUACGGUUCAGACUACUAAGAGAACUAUGUAUUGGGUAAAUACCUGAAUCUAUGCUUAGCUAUGUGUUCAAAAUACAUUUGAUCUUAUUUUUUGAAAAGUUACAAAUCAGCCUUUAGCGUUUUUUAUUAUUAUUAUUAUUAUUGUUGUUUUGGGUGGUCUCUCCUCAAGAUUCUUACUGUGGGAUUGCAGAGGCAUGAGAAUCAAAGCUGACUUGAAAAUGGUAAAAAAAUGGUCUUUAUUUGCAAAAUUUUUCUCUGGCUUAUUUUUUAAAAGUAGCUGUCUUCCAAGGUGUGGUAAGCAGUUUUUAAAGUAAGGACUAGUGAUCUCACUUCGAAGAGUCUCUGGUUCAGGCUUUAGACCAUGUUUAUUCAGGAAAGUCAGAUUGCAUCAAAAUAGACCUGGAGAACAAAAGAAAAUGCUCCCUUCUUCAGUAUCCAACUUUGCAUGCUUGUAUUCUUGGACAAGAAUGGCUUGUCAGAGACCAUACUGUAUUUGUUCGUCAUCCCUUGCAAUUACCUGUGGUUUUAAUUUACUUUGAAAGAAAUAAAGGCAAAAGUGACUUCUCAGUGUGCCUUCUUCUGCCUGAUGAGGUGUGGCUAUGCAUUUUCCCACUGCUGUCCCAGAAGGAACUUUCUCAGGUUCCUCAAGUCUGCCACAGAUUCUAUCGGUUUGCAAGGCAUGAAGAGUUUUGUAAGUGUAGUACAAUAUCUGGACUAAGAUCAGUGAGCAGAAGGGGAAGAAGUCCCUUCUGAUGGAAGAUAAAAAAUGAAACUCUAAGAAGCACCCUAGUAACCAGUGAUAGAUAUGGAAAACUUCUGACGGUUUUGUGAUUCUAUCAGGCAGUUAUUUAGAAUCUAAAUAACUUAAUAUUCACAAAUGGUCAGACCUAAAUUUUAAAUUGGCAAUACAGGCCAAUUCUAAUUGACUUAUACAUUUUUGUAGAAUAAACAUCUGUGAAUAUUGCAUUUGCUCAAACUAUAAGUCCUGCAAUAUUAUACAGUCAUUGUAAGUAACAGGUUACCAUGAAAACUGGUGUAAGUAUUUUCAUUUUUAGGAAAUUUUUGAAGAGUAAGAACCUGCUCAGUUUUAGAACAAAUAAAUGUAAUACUUAUAGGCUAUUAAAGAAAUUGUUGAAGUCAUCCUUUGUCUCCUAUGGGUUAUGUGGUAGAAAGAUGAUGUUUGGAACAAAUUUCUCUGUGUUGAUAAGUAUGCAGAUCAUGAUUACAAAGAAAUGUAUGUCUGUCCAGAGAGGAGAUGGAAAAUAACUCUAUUUCAUAUUCUUUCUGGAAUCUAUCGUGUGCACUGGUAUGUGAUGUACCCUUGAACCUGUACCACUGAACCCAAGUUUCUUCAGUUUGUUAGUAGUUAUCAAGAAUCUUUUACCCAUGGGAAAGUUUAACUUAUCGCAGAGAAAUAAAAAGACAAUUGAAGAUUU